AUGGCGAUGCCACUCUGGUUGCUGCGUGGCAUUACCACAGAGCUAAGGACGGCUCUCUCCACCUCCUCUGAAGGCUUUCUUUUAAGCAAGCAUAUCACAUACGCCAUCACCGCCGCGUUGCAAGGUACCGUGAUCCUAUCUUCACUAGUGAACCCGAACUCGUCCUCCGACAUCCUCAGGAGUUCCCCGAACACCGUUGUACUGAGAACAACGAUCUACUCUUGA
rnacentral:rRNA from 1 species